UACGUAGGGGGCUAGCGUUGUUCGGAAUUACUGGGCGUAAAGCGCGCGCAGGCGGAUUGAUAAGUCAGGGGUGAAAUCCCGGAGCUCAACUUCGGAAUUGCCUUUGAUACUGUCUGUCUUGAGUCCGGGAGAGGUGAGUGGAAUUCCUAGUGUAGAGGUGAAAUUCGUAGAUAUUAGGAAGAACACCAGUGGCGAAGGCGGCUCACUGGCCCGGUACUGACGCUCAUGUGCGAAAGCGUGGGGAGCAAACAGG
rnacentral:rRNA from 1 species